UGGGGAAUAUUGCACAAUGGACGGAAGUUUGAUGCAGCGACGCCGCGUGGAGGGUGUAGGCCUUCGGGUUGUGAACUCCUUUUUCUCGCGAAAAAGGCACAGUUUUGGCUGUGUUGAUGGUAGUGGGGGAAGAAGCGCCGGCUAACUACGUGCCAGCAGCCGCGGUAAUACGUAGGGCGCGAGCGUUGUCCGGAUUUAUUGGGCGUAAAGAGCUCAUAGGUGGUUCGUCGCGUCUGUCGUGAAAGCCAGCAGCUUAACUGUUGGUCUGCGGUGGGUACGGGCGGGCUUGAGUGCGGUAGGGGUGACUGGAAUUCCUGGUGUAGCGGUGGAAUGCGCAGAUAUCAGGAGGAACACCGAUGGCGAAGGCAGGUCACUGGGCCGUUACUGACACUGAGGAGCGAAAGCGUGGGGAGCGAACAGG
rnacentral:rRNA from 1 species